GGUUGCAGAGAAAUCCUGGAGCACAGACACGUACAUUUACUGAUCGAGAUAAGAGCAGAAAACGAAGUCGCAGAACAGAAACCAGUAGAUUUGCUGAUCAGGACAGGACUAGGAAGCGACACCGCGACACCUAUAGAAGGGAGGACACCUAUAGAAGGGAGGACACCUACAAAAGGGAAGACACCUACAAAAGGGAAGACACCUAUAAAAGGGAAAUUUAUGCAUCCCCUGUUGCCCCUCUGCAAUCGCGUGCACUUUUACCCUCAGCAUCAGCUGUUGCGCCCCCUCCCAGAUCAUAUUCUUAUGAAGGGAACUUGCAAAUGAACGAUUACAGAAGGGAUCCGCUUGUU
rnacentral:lncRNA from 1 species